rnacentral:rRNA from 1 species
CGAAGCGGUUUUAAGGAAGUUUUCGGAUGGAAUUAAAACUGACUGAGCGGCGGACGGGUGAGUAACGCGUGGGUAACCUGCCUCAUACAGGGGGAUAACAGUUAGAAAUGGCUGCUAAUACCGCAUAAGCACACAGCUUCGCAUGGAGCAGUGUGAAAAACUCCGGUGGUAUGAGAUGGACCCGCGUCUGAUUAGCUAGUUGGUAAGGUAACGGCUUACCAAGGCGACGAUCAGUAGCCGACCUGAGAGGGUGACCGGCCACAUUGGGACUGAGACACGGCCCAAACUCCUACGGGAGGCAGCAGUGGGGAAUAUUGCACAAUGGGGGAAACCCUGAUGCAGCGACGCCGCGUGAGUGAAGAAGUAUCUCGGUAUGUAAAGCUCUAUCAGCAGGGAAGAAAAUGACGGUACCUGACUAAGAAGCCCCGGCUAACUACGUGCCAGCAGCCGCGGUAAUACGUAGGGGGCAAGCGUUAUCCGGAUUUACUGGGUGUAAAGGGAGCGUAGACGGCGGAGCAAGUCUGAAGUGAAAGCCCCGGGGCUCAACCCCGGGACUGCUUUGGAAACUGUUCUGCUAGAGUGCUGGAGAGGUAAGUGGAAUUCCUAGUGUAGCGGUGAAAUGCGUAGAUAUUAGGAGGAACACCAGUGGCGAAGGCGGCUUACUGGACAGUA